CGUAGGUGCGAGCGUUGUCCGGAAUUAUUGGGCGUAAAGAGCUUGUAGGCGGUUUGUCGCGUCUGCUGUGAAAUCCGGGGCUCAACCCCGGACUUGCAGUGGGUACGGGCAGACUAGAGUGUGGUAGGGAGGACUGGAAUUCCUGGUGUAGCGGUGAAAUGCGCAGAUAUCAGGAGGAACACCGAUGGCGAAGGCAGGUCUCUGGGCCACUACUGACGCUGAGAAGCGAAGCAUGGGAGCGAACAGGAUU
rnacentral:rRNA from 1 species